UGCCCUGAGGCUCAAAUGUGAGAAAGCAAACUUUGGGCAGAGGCUGGAUCCCACAAUAAGCAACUAUCCCUUCCUUCUCUCGUUUCUCCAUCUCCCAAACCUACUACUCUACAGCCCAGGUCCCAAAGCGUGAAAACCGGGUGAGGAAGAUCUCAUCCAUGCAAAGGAGGAGAAACUUUUGUGCCACAGACGACCACAGCUGUCUCAGGAGGUACAAGACAAAAUAAUUACAGACCACUGAAUGGGAGGAGGGGUGUCCAUCCCAGCACCUAACAGGCUCACCGCUCCGGAAGUCACCCGGAACUCUCAGCUACUCUGGGGAUGGAGUAGCCCAGCCCGGUGCUACGAGGGAAAUAGAAAAAGGAGAGGAGGCCAGUUUGGGGCACAGUGCCUGGCGGCAGAAGACAGCUGGUGAGCCCCGGACCCGCCUGAUCCCCAAACGCCGCGGACUCACGGCCUUCAGCUGCUCCAGCCGGUCCUUCAUCCUGGCCCAGUUCUUAUUGCCCGGCCC